rnacentral:rRNA from 1 species
CACGUAGGGUGCGAGCGUUGUCCGGAAUUAUUGGGCGUAAAGAGCUCGUAGGCGGUGUGUCGCGUCGGCCGUGAAAACCUGGGGCUUAACUCUGGGCUUGCGGUCGAUACGGGCAUCACUGGAGUUCGGCAGGGGAGACUGGAAUUCCUGGUGUAGCGGUGAAAUGCGCAGAUAUCAGGAGGAACACCGGUGGCGAAGGCGGGUCUCUGGGCCGAUACUGACGCUGAAGCUCGAAAGCUAGGGGAGCAAACGGG